GAAUAUUAGUCAAUGCUCGAAAGAGUGAACUAGCUAACUGAAAUCAAUUAUAAUAAUUGAUAACAUAAGGGAAAAUAAUGAUAUUACCUUAUUAUUAGUGUCGUCCAAAUCUGGUGCCAGAAGACUCGGUAAGGCCAGAGACACAAACGUUAAUCGUCUUAAUCAGGCGUAAAGGGUUUGUAGGCGGCUUUUAAAUUGAUCUAUAAAUAAUAAAUUUAUUUUAUUAAAUAAAUAGGUUAAGAAUAAAAGCUAGAAUCAAAUAGAGGAUAUAUUAAAGAAUGCUUAGAGUAGGUCUGAUAUCCUUAGAUACUAAGUAGAAUAUUAAAGGCGAAGGCUUUUUUCCAUUAAUGAUUGACGCUCAGAAACGAAGGUGAGGAUAGGAAAUAGGAUUAGAUACCCAAAAUACCCCUCUCUGUCAACGAUGAAUGGUAGUUAUUAGUAAUUAAAAUUAUUAAUGGCAAUGUUAACACGAUAACCAUUCCGCCUUGUGAGUACAACUGCAAAGUUGAAAACAAAAAAAUUAGUCGGUUUCGGAGCAAACGAAGUGAAGCAUGUUAUUUAAUUC
rnacentral:rRNA from 1 species